rnacentral:misc_RNA from 1 species
GAUGAAGAACGUAGCGAAAUGCGAUAAGUAAUGUGAAUUGCAGAAUUCAGUGAAUCAUCGAAUCUUUGAACGCACAUUGCGCCCGCCAGUAUUCUGGCGGGCAUGCCUGUCCGAGCGUCAUUUCAACCAUCAAGCCCCGGGCUUGUGUUGGGGACCUGCGUCCGACGCAGGCCCUGAAAACCAGUGGCGGGCUCGCUGUCCACACCGAGCGUAGUAACUAACCUCGCUAUGGAGUGGCGCGGGCGCCUGCCGUAAAACCCCCAAUUUUUACAAGGUUGACCUCGGAUCAGGUAGGAAUACCCGCUGAACUUAAGCAUAUCAAUAAGCGGAGGC